GAUACUUAUGUACCUAGAAAUGAUUUUUGGAAAAAAUAAAGCACAAACUAUGAGGCAGCUGCAGUUGAAAUUUGACCCGGUUCUAGCGGAAUCGGCGGAAAUUUGUCUUUUUCACGAAGGUGCAUAAAAACUCUUGACACCCAACCAUUUUGUCAAUUUUACAUUAAAUAUGACCUAAUACUUUAUAAAAAUGAUUUGGUCCAAUUUUGCAACAAAUAUAUGGUAGGUCCUUCAUAAAAACACUUAUUUCGGUACUCGAAAAAUGAUUAAAAAUUGAUAGAAAGAUCAUAAAUGCAUACAAAUUGGUGCUCAUCCAUAUAAAUGUGGUCUAACUUGAGUGAAAAUUUGUGUGAUGCCGUUUUGGAAAAUAGUUUUGAUAGCUACUUCACAAAUCCCUCUAUUUUUAGUACUUAGAGAUUAUUUUAAAUGACUGAUUUUUCAAACCAAUCAAAACUAUUCCCACGGAUCGAUGACAUGGCGCCCAUCCAUCCAUCCAUACAUAUCUCCAUCCCACAUCCAUCCAUCUAUCUAUAGAAAAAAGACAAAACCCCCCACCACCGCCGACCUCGCCGUCCUCCCUCCCCUCCCCGCUUCUACGCCCGAGGAGAUCGAGCGAGCGCCCGAGCGCGCCCGUCCUUGCAGCCUCCUCCCACGAUUCCCCGCACCCAAGCACCACGAGAGGAGCUCCUCCUGUGGUUUUGCACGCCGCCGCCGGUGACCACCAGCCACAGCUUGCCAGAGCAAGCAAAUGAGUGCCACCCUUCUUCGCGUGCUCUCUUUCUUCCUCCGUUUUCUCUCUCACACAUCUCGAUUUCUCUCUUUGUCUCAAAUAGUGCACUCCGCCACUAUGGACGCUCGCGUCCCCGACCUUGCAGCGCGCCGCCCCGAUGCCAAGUCCCUCCUCGCCGUUCCUGCGCCACCGAGCCAAAGCCUCGCCCAAGUCCAAGCGCCGCCACCGUUUGCCUCCUCGCCAUGGCCGCCCCGAUGCCAAGUCCCUCCUCGCCUACCGCGCCUCCACCCCACGCUCGCGCGCCCGACCAGACGAGGCAUCUGGUGCCCCACGCGAUUCUCCUUGCCUGCUGCUGCUGCUCCUUUCCUUGCCUCGCCGCUUCUCUUCCUUCCUCUGCUCUCUGCUUGCUGCUGCUUCUUCUGCUUCCCCCACCUCUCUGCUGCUCUGCUCCCACAUCUCCUGCUGCUGCUCCUCCCUCUUGCUUCCCCCUGUUGCUUCUCUUCUUCCCCUGCCUUGCUGAUGCCCUUCUUUUUCCCCUCGCUGCUCUGAAUCUUCUCCAUUUGCUGCUGCUUCUUCUCCAAGCCUCCACGCUGAUGUUGUUCCCCUUCCUUGCUGUUGUUCCUUUCUGAAUCCCCAACGACCUGCUGCUGUUCUUCACUUGUUGUUGAUCCUGUUCUUCUCUGAAUCCCAAAUUGCUACUUCUCUCUCUCUUUUUCUGAAAUGACUAUGCGUUUGAGAUGUGUAAGACCUGGUGAAAUUGUGAAUGGUUCAUUUUAGUACUUGUAAUGUAAUGUCACUCUUGUGUGUUCUGACUAGUUGAUGCACCUAUAUAAAUUCCGUUCACCUAUGUUAUGUGUUGUCACUAGUGUGUUGCCCUUACCACAGAAAUAUAUUCAGUUUAGUAGUCCAUGUAUUAGCUCAAGUUCUUGUGAUCUACAUGUCUGUGAUGGAAACAUCUUUAUCCCUAUUUGAUCCAUCCUCGUUUUUACAUGUUUUCUAGUUAUAGAUUUGUAGGUUAUUGUUGUUUGCUUGUUCCAGUAUUUUAGUUUCUAUUCUGUAGUAUAAUCUUGUUUGUUCUCUCUUUUGCUUGUUUGUAGCUAUAUAUGUCCAUGUCUUUUCAAUUCCCUAGCCGUUGAUGUAUGCUUGUGUUAGCAUUUUAUUUCUCAACUAAAACAAAAACACCAAAAAAAUACAUCGAGUAAAAUCUGAAUCUACCUUUGCUUAUCUGCAUUUUCUUUGGCGACAAUCAUUGAUAGCUUAGGUUUUAUUUCUGCAUUCAUAAGCUGAAUUGUGUUACCUAGCUUUAUCCGAGCACGAUCAUUGACUUGCCUAGUCCCUGAGGAGAACACGACACUCGCAGAUUUGGGCAAAAUAUCCCACUACAUUUACAUUUGAUCAACAAGUUAUGCCACAUCAAAAUAUUGCCUUGUGCAUUUACGCUUGCUAUAAGUGUACUCGUGAUAUGUGAGACAAGUUUUGACUCUUUCAUGCUAGAUCUAUGACAAUGUUAUAUUAAUCAAUUAGCUCAUGGGAAUUGCAUAUAUUGGUAUUAUAAGUGUUGCAUGUGUAAUUAAUAAAUGGCAGAAAUAACACCUGCUUGGAAUCUCCCGGUCCUGGCGCGUGUGUCAAGGUGGUGAACCCGCUGUUCAAGAAGAGGCCGAAGCAGUUCGGCAUCGGUGGCGCCCUGCUGCCAAAGAAGGACCUCCACUGGUUCGUCAAGUGGCCCAAGGUCGUGCGCAUCCAGUGCCAGCGCCGCAUCCUCAAGCAGCGCCUCAAGGUGCCCCCAGCGCUACACGAGUUCACCGCACCCUCGACAAGAACCUCGAUGCUGGCCUUAAUUCUUCAAAAGUUGGGUGCACAGGAGCUCUAGGAAGAAGAAUCCCGAAGAAAAACCACACCCAGCAAUGCGUUUUAGCUCACUGGAGCUAGUUAUGUGUAUAUUUAGUUGUAUUUUAUAGCUGAAUACCAGAUCUGUACUAUGUAUGAUUGUAAUGUACUUUGCUUGGCUAUUGUAUGCAAUAUUAUGCCUUA